UGUGUGAGCGCCCCAUUGAUAGUGAAUGCAGUAAAGUGCAAUGACACUGUUAUCGGGAUCCCCCUCAAGGGGGCCCCCCUCGCUGACAGCAGCCAGCCAACCACGCGAUCUCUGCUGCCGGCAAAAUACAAAACUUCCUCGGCAGUCGUGAAGCGGAAUUAUGCUUCAGGAAGCCAAAAAAGAAAGAAGAGAAAGGAAGAGGAGGAUAAGAAAAAACAAGACAGUGGUGCUUUGCUUAAAUUUCUCAGCCCUCAGGCUCUUCCUAAGGAUACCUCCACUGAUGAAGCUACACCAUCAACUUCAUCCUCAACAUCAACAGAUGCAUCACUUCUCAGUGCUGAUGUUUCCUCUUCAGCACAAGGUACCACAAGCUCUAUAAUUAUAGCUGAUAUCCUGCACAGCCCAGAGUUUAAACUGAUAAGUGUGUGCUGUCAUAUUGUUAGAAAAAAACAGUGCAAAUCACUACUGAAUUCCCAUCAAACUGUGUAAAUACUAGUCACUUUUGCCCAUGGACAUUUCAGAAUUUUUUAUAUACAGUAGUGCCUGUCAAAUUUCUAGGUGUCAGACACUCUGUGAUGCAUUCUGUACCUGAACAGAUGGAUUAUAUUAAUAAAAAAAACAUUAUUUUUCCCCAGCUACACCGUCAAUAGCAUAUUUGUAUAUUUGAUUUUAUGGUA